UGCGUAGGCGGUUUAUUAAGUCAGUGGUGAAAGACGGUCGCUCAACGAUUGCAGUGCCAUUGAUACUGGUAGACUUGAGUGUGAUUGAGGUAGCUGGAAUGGAUAGUGUAGCGGUGAAAUGCAUAGAUAUUAUCCAGAACACCGAUUGCGAAGGCGACUUUCUGGACUGUAACUGACGUUGAGGCACGAAAGUGUGGGGAGCAAACAGGAUUAGAUACCCGUGUA
rnacentral:rRNA from 1 species